rnacentral:rRNA from 1 species
GGAAUCUGGGAGGACCAUCUCCUAAGGCUAAAUACUCUCUAGUGACCGAUAGUGAACCAGUACCGUGAGGGAAAGGUGAAAAGCACCCCGGAAGGGGAGUGAAAUAGAACCUGAAACCGUGUGCUUACAAGUAGUCAGAGCCCGUUAAUGGGUGAUGGCGUGCCUUUUGUAGAAUGAACCGGCGAGUUACGAUUUGAUGCAAGGUUAAGCAGUAAAUGUGGAGCCGUAGCGAAAGCGAGUCUGAAUAGGGCGUUUAGUAUUUGGUCGUAGACCCGAAACCAGGUGAUCUACCCUUGGUCAGGUUGAAGUUCAGGUAACACUGAAUGGAGGACCGAACCGACUUACGUUGAAAAGUGAGCGGAUGAACUGAGGGUAGCGGAGAAAUUCCAAUCGAACCUGGAGAUAGCUGGUUCUCUCCGAAAUAGCUUUAGGGCUAGCCUCAAGUGAUGAUUAUUGGAGGUAGAGCACUGUUUGGACGAGGGGCCCCUCUCGGGUUACCGAAUUCAGACAAACUCCGAAUGCCAAUUAAUUUAACUUGGGAGUCAGAACAUGGGUGAUAAGGUCCGUGUUCGAAAGGGAAACAGCCCAGACCACCAGCUAAGGUCCCAAAAUAUAUGUUAAGUGGAAAAGGAUGUGGCGUUGCCCAGACAACUAGGAUGUUGGCUUAGAAGCAGCCAUCAUUUAAAGAGUGCGUAAUAGCUCACUAGUCGAGUGACACUGCGCCGAAAAUGUACCGGGGCUAAACAUAUUACCGAAGCUGUGGAUUGUCCUUUGGACAAUGGUAGGAGAGCGUUCUAAGGGCGUUGAAGCAUGAUCGUAAGGACAUGUGGAGCGCUUAGAAGUGAGAAUGCCGGUGUGAGUAGCGAAAGACGGGUGAGAAUCCCGUCCACCGAUUGACUAAGGUUUCCAGAGGAAGGCUCGUCCGCUCUGGGUUAGUCGGGUCCUAAGCUGAGGCCGACAGGCGUAGGCGAUGGAUAACAGGUUGAUAUUCCUGUACCACCUAUAAUCGUUUUAAUCGAUGGGGGGACGCAGUAGGAUAGGCGAAGCGUGCGAUUGGAUUGCACGUCUAAGCAGUAAGGCUGAGUAUUAGGCAAAUCCGGUACUCGUUAAGGCUGAGCUGUGAUGGGGAGAAGACAUUGAGUCUUCGAGUCGUUGAUUUCACACUGCCGAGAAAAGCCUCUAGAUAGAAAAUAGGUGCCCGUACCGCAAACCGACACAGGUAGUCAAGAUGAGAAUUCUAAGGUGAGCGAGCGAACUCUCGUUAAGGAACUCGGCAAAAUGACCCCGUAACUUCGGGAGAAGGGGUGCUCUUUAGGGUUAACGCCCAGAAGAGCCGCAGUGAAUAGGCCCAAGCGACUGUUUAUCAAAAACACAGGUCUCUGCUAAACCGUAAGGUGAUGUAUAGGGGCUGACGCCUGCCCGGUGCUGGAAGGUUAAGAGGAGUGGUUAGCUUCUGCGAAGCUACGAAUCGAAGCCCCAGUAAACGGCGGCCGUAACUAUAACGGUCCUAAGGUAGCGAAAUUCCUUGUCGGGUAAGUUCCGACCCGCACGAAAGGCGUAACGAUUUGGGCACUGUCUCAACGAGAGACUCGGUGAAAUCAUAGUACCUGUGAAGAUGCAGGUUACCCGCGACAGGACGGAAAGACCCCGUGGAGCUUUACUGUAGCCUGAUAUUGAAAUUCGGCACAGCUUGUACAGGAUAGGUAGGAGCCUUUGAAACGUGAGCGCUAGCUUACGUGGAGGCGCUGGUGGGAUACUACCCUAGCUGUGUUGGCUUUCUAACCCGCACCACUUAUCGUGGUGGGAGACAGUGUCAGGCGGGCAGUUUGACUGGGGCGGUCGCCUCCUAAAAGGUAACGGAGGCGCUCAAAGGUUCCCUCAGAAUGGUUGGAAAUCAUUCAUAGAGUGUAAAGGCAUAAGGGAGCUUGACUGCGAGACCUACAAGUCGAGCAGGGUCGAAAGACGGACUUAGUGAUCCGGUGGUUCCGCAUGGAAGGGCCAUCGCUCAACGGAUAAAAGCUACCCCGGGGAUAACAGGCUUAUCUCCCCCAAGAGUUCACAUCGACGGGGAGGUUUGGCACCUCGAUGUCGGCUCAUCGCAUCCUGGGGCUGUAGUCGGUCCCAAGGGUUGGGCUGUUCGCCCAUUAAAGCGGUACGCGAGCUGGGUUCAGAACGUCGUGAGACAGUUCGGUCCCUAUCCGUCGUGGGCGUAGGAAAUUUGAGAGGAGCUGUCCUUAGUACGAGAGGACCGGGAUGGACAUACCUCUGGUGUACCAGUUGUCGUGCCAACGGCAUAGCUGGGUAGCUAUGUGUGGACGGGAUAAGUGCUGAAAGCAUCUAAGCAUGAAGCCCCCCUCAAGAUGAGAUUUCCCAACUUCGGUUAUAAGAUCCCUCAAAGAUGAUGAGGUUAAUAGGUUCGAGGUGGAAGCAUGGUGACAUGUGGAGCUGACAAAUACUAAUCGAUCGAAGACUUAAUCAA